GGGGAAUAUUGCACAAUGGGGGAAACCCUGAUGCAGCGACGCCGCGUGAGUGAAAAAGUAUUUCGGUAUGUAAAGCUCUAUCAGCAGGGAAGAAAAUGACGGUACCUGACUAAGAAGCUCCGGCUAAAUAC
rnacentral:rRNA from 1 species